UAGCGAAUUAACUGGAGGUGAAAACAAUUCCAGCACAUUUCUUCAGCUGCUGGCAAUACAUGUAACUCCAUUGUCUUUAAUAACGAGUGCUAAUUUUACACCUGUUAAGGACUUGAUAAAGAGUAGUGUUGGCAGGCUAGUGCUUUCUGGGGUGGAUAAUGAGCCAUUUUGUGCCUCUGUGUCUGAUUUCUCACUUGCUUGUGUUGGCUGGAGCAUUAUGAGGUCUCUGCCAUGGCUGACUUGUACUGGGGUGUGGAUACAGGCAGGGAUUUGAAACAAAUGGGGGGGGACCCUCUCCACCCUCACAGAGCCCCACAAUAUCACCCUUCUUUUGGAGGAGGUUCACUGUCACAUUCCUCUAACUUGCUCCGCCAGAGUAUGAGACAAGAGGCAACAGAGAUUGACAACACUGGGAGUUUCUGCCAAGCUAUUUAUUCCCUCUCACGUGCGGUUAAUCGAGCCACUGUUAUGGCAGCAGUUACCAAUUUGCUCCCCACUGUCUUCAGAGAGUUACCUACCUGUUGUGAGCCCAGCUGAUGUAUCUGUUGCCGGUCAAAAGGUUGGAGAGAAGAUCUCUGAGGGAUUAGAUCAAAUGCAUCAGUAUCCAGAAACACCUUAUUUUUGUCCAAGUCUGUGAAUGGCUUUCUUGCCAUUUGUACAAUGGAGCCACACUGGUACUGCUGUCACAGACCUCCUGCAGCUACUAGGAUGGGAUGCAGAUGGUUUUCUUCACUGUAAUCGCCGCAGAAAUUUCACUUGAUUGGUCUACUGUGUAGGAGCUUGAUGUCUUUCCAGAUACACCACUUCUGUGAGGGCUAGGGGAUGGGAAGCUCAACACUGUUACCUUCUGCUCUGACUUUCUCACACCACAAAGCCAGACCUGCUGAAAUUCCCUGAAUGUGGAGCGUAACAUAACAUGCCUGUUGUUUCUGCAACACACUGACAAAGCAAGGUUUCUAUGAAUAUAUUCUUCCUGCAGCUCUAGCCAUCAUUUGCUAUCAAGUUCUUCUGCAGUUUUGCACUUGUAAUAGUGAGUGAUAGAGCUAACUAUUUUCAAAAUAGAAAAAUGUCUUUUAAAAAAUCCAGAUACUGUUUUGCUUUGUUUUAAAAGCCUUGUUUUCUUUCCACAAGUGGGAAGCCUGUUCAUCACAGAGAAUGUGUCUAGGCCAAGUUAAAGCAUUUGACUUCAAAGUAUCAUUCCAAAACAGACAGCCACAUAUAUGUCUCCCUGUAAACAAAUAGGCAGAAAAACGAGAUUUUUUUUUUAAAUCAUCACAAAAGAGAAAUGUCUUAGACGUUGCAGCACUGCAGACUGGUUUUCCUGGGGAGAACUUUAUAGCUUGUUUACUACGCUGAAAUCUGUCUCUCGCUUUACCAACUGCUUCCCAAGAUGUUGACUUUGUCUUACCAUGUCCCUUUCGUUCUUUGUUGUGUUCUUUCUUUUCUUGCCAGAUUUCCAGAGUUUUGUCUGCAUGCUUCAAUACGCUUCCUUUGUUAUUUUUUAUCAGCAAAGUUUUCUAUCUCUGUAUUGUAGGCUAAGUUGUCAUUGGCAAAGACAGUAGGUUGUGCAAGAAAAUGUGCCUUAUCUCCAGAAACAUGGAGACAGUGAUUACACCCAGAUACUGGCUCACUGGAGAGUGAUGGUGGUGCACAUAUUCAAGGGGCUGUCCCUUUGCUGUAAUGUUUUAUAUUUGGUAUCAAAUAUGAGGCCUGAAAUGUGACAGCAUUGUGAGUAUGGUAACCAGUGCAGUGACGAAACAGAUGUUUGUGCUGUACCUGAAAGCCACAAAAUAACGUAUGCUAUGGUUAUGAGCUAGCAGAAUAUCUCUGGCAAGGUCAGCAAUGGCUUUUGCUGUCUUCUAGUCAUUGCUGUCCAAAUGUUUGUGGUGAUGUUGGCCUUGACUGCUCUGGAGAAAGAAGGCUAUUCUUAUCUUUAAAUUUAUGGCUCAGGAACAGGUCCAUGCCAAAACAGACUUUAAGCAGAUCUGUGCUGUUUCUAAACCCAUCUGCCCUGUGUUUGUGAAGGCUGUAGAGACAGCAGAGCUGUGCUGGUUUUCAAAGGUACCACAGAUCUUUUUACAGACUGCAGUCUUAAUGUUUACCAGGAUCAUCUGGAAAGCUAACAAAUCCCCUUACAUUCAUUCUUUUAUGUCAAGUUUAACUAUUUUAAAUUCUUAUGGGUAUUAAACACUGAAUUGAUUUAAUCUUAGAUAUUUGGCACAGUAUUUGCACAGUGAUUAUAGUGAGUUUUGCUAAUUGAUUUAAGAACGAAUUCAGAUUGAGAUCCCAGUGGUUUUGGCUCAUCUUCACCUUCAGCCCUGGUGUACAGCAGUGACUGAAGUACGAGCUGCUGCUUUCUGCAAAUGCAGGCACAGUUCGUGUGCCCUGUGUUGUAUCGUGGUUUGAGGCACAUCAGUCUGCUGAUGACUUUAAAUGUUUUAUGUAGUUUCUAUAGAUAAAAGAUACCUGUGCUUGAAUGUGGCAAGUAUACAUCCCAUCUCUAGUGCUUGUAGCCAGGAGUGCCUUCUUUCAGGGGAUGAGGAUUUGAGAAGCUUGCAGCUUCACUACUAACGGCAGAAAAAGUCAGAAUUCAAGGGUGUAUUUGAAGUAAAAUGUAUAUAACUCUAAACCUGUGAGUUCAAACAGGUAUGAGGUUUGGGUUUAAAGUCCAUUUUUUCAGAGCAAAUGCUAUCUAUAAAAUAAAAAAAAGUGGGCCUAUUUCUACA
rnacentral:lncRNA from 1 species